rnacentral:rRNA from 1 species
GAGUUUGAUUCUGGCUCAGAACGAACGCUGGCGGCGCGUCUUAAGCAUGCAAGUCGAACGGCAAGAAAGGAGCUUGCUCCUUUCCUAGAGUGGCGGACUGGUGAGGAACACGUGGGUAAUCUACCCUUGAGAUGGGGAUAGCCGUUAGAAAUAGCGGGUAAUACCGAAUACACUUAUUAUUUCACAAGAGAUAGUAAGGAAAGGAAGCUACGGCUUCGCUCGAGGAUGAGCCUGCGUCCCAUUAGCUAGUUGGUGAGGUAACGGCUCACCAAGGCAACGAUGGGUAUCCGGCCUGAGAGGGUGAUCGGACACAUUGGGACUGAGAUACGGCCCAAACUCCUACGGGAGGCAGCAGCUAAGAAUAUUCCGCAAUGGACGGAAGUCUGACGGAGCGACGCCGCGUGGAUGAAGAAGGCUGAAAAGUUGUAAAAUCCUUUUGUUGAUGAAGAAUAAAGGUAAGAGGGAAUGCUUAUCUGAUGA